AUACCUUUCUCGGCCUUUUGGCUAAGAUCAAGUGUAGUAUCUGUUCUUAUCAGUUUAAUAUCUGAUAUGUGAGCCAUCGAUAUUAAUCUAAUUUUUUCCAUGCGGGAGUUCCCAUCACAGUAGCUUGCUGCUGGGGUUCUCAUGCGUCGCCUUUGCGUUGCACUACUGCAAUGGCCUGGCGUACCCCCA